rnacentral:lncRNA from 1 species
AGGCUGCCAUCUUGCCCCAUGUGGGCACUGGAGAAUGGGGCUAGUGUAGAGAAGACCCUAGAAGAGAGAUGUGGAUGGGACAGGGUCCUUGUGGCAUCAUUUGAGAUUCUGAACCUGGAGCUGGGGCUGCUCCCAGAGUUUUUGGAUAUAUGAGCCAAUACAUCCCAUUUUGGCUUAAACCUGCUGUAGCUGUAGGACUGUGACCAAGAGUUCUAUUUCUAUGAGUCCCGCAGGCUUGUUUCCCCACCUCUAAAGGGAGAGAGUAAUCACUCCCGUGGUCUGUUAUGCCUCGUCAUUAUCUGUGUAUAGUAGAGAUAUCUUGGUGUAUAGCACCAAGCACAGGACUUGGACAGAGUUAACCACUCAAUAAACAGCAGCCAUGGCCGUCGUCAGGAGCAUUGUGGAGCACUGGAUGCUGUCGCUGGUAUAAGGCCCAGACAUGACGGUGCAGAGGACAUCAGGACCAGCAGGACAUAAAACCCUCACGGU